rnacentral:rRNA from 1 species
GAUGAACGCUGGCGGCGUGCUUAACACAUGCAAGUCGAACGGAAAGGCUCCUGCUUGCAGGGGUACUCGAGUGGCGAACGGGUGAGUAACACGUGGGUGAUCUGCCCUGCACUUCGGGAUAAGCUUGGGAAACUGGGUCUAAUACCGGAUAGGACCGCAUUUUGGAUGGUGUGGUGGAAAGUUUUUUCGGUGUGGGAUGAGCUCGCGGCCUAUCAGCUUGUUGGUGGGGUAAUGGCCUACCAAGGCGUCGACGGGUAGCCGGCCUGAGAGGGUGUACGGCCACAUUGGGACUGAGAGACGGCCCAGACUCCUACGGGAGGCAGCAGUGGGGAAUAUUGCACAAUGGGCGCAAGCCUGAUGCAGCGACGCCGCGUGGGGGAUGACGGCCUUCGGGUUGUAAACUCCUUUCGCUAGGGACGAAGAGUAAUUGACGGUACCUGGAGAAGAAGCACCGGCUAACUACGUG